CACUAUCGUUAACUGAAUACAUAGGUUAACGAGGCGAACCGGGGGAACUGAAACAUCUAAGUACCCCGAGGAAAAGAAAUCAACCGAGAUUCCCCCAGUAGCGGCGAGCGAACGGGGAGCAGCCCAGAGUCUGAAUCAGCUUGUGUGUUAGUGGAACGGUCUGGAAAGUCCGACGGUACAGGGUGAUAGUCCCGUACACCAAAAUGCACAGGCUGUGAACUCGAAGAGUAGGGCGGGACACGUGGUAUCCUGUCUGAAUAUGGGGGGACCAUCCUCCAAGGCUAAAUACUCCUGACUGACCGAUAGUGAACCAGUACCGUGAGGGAAAGGCGAAAAGAACCCCGGCGAGGGGAGUGAAAAAGAACCUGAAACCGUGUACGUACAAGCAGUGGGAGCACCUUCGGGUGUGACUGCGUACCUUUUGUAUAAUGGGUCAGCGACUUAUAUUCUGUAGCAAGGUUAACCGUAUAGGGGAGCCGCAGGGAAACCGAGUCUUAACUGGGCGUUAAGUUGCAGGGUAUAGACCCGAAACCCGGUGAUCUAGCCAUGGGCAGGUUGAAGGUUGGGUAACACUAACUGGAGGACCGAACCGACUAAUGUUGAAAAAUUAGCGGAUGACUUGUGGCUGGGGGUGAAAGGCCAAUCAAACCGGGAGAUAGCUGGUUCUCCCCGAAAGCUAUUUAGGUAGCGCCUCGUGAACUCAUCUUCGGGGGUAGAGCACUGUUUCGGCUAGGGGGUCAUCCCGACUUACCAACCCGAUGCAAACUACGAAUACCGAAGAAUGUUAUCACGGGAGACACACGGCGGGUGCUAACGUCCGUCGUGAAGAGGGAAACAACCCAGACCGCCAGCUAAGGUCCCAAAGUCAUGGUUAAGUGGGAAACGAUGUGGGAAGGCACAGACAGCCAGGAUGUUGGCUUAGAAGCAGCCAUCAUUUAAAGAAAGCGUAAUAGCUCACUGGUCGAGUCGGCCUGCGCGGAAGAUGUAACGGGGCUAAACCAUGCACCGAAGCUGCGGCAGCGACACUAUGUGUUGUUGGGUAGGGGAGCGUUCUGUAAGCCUGCGAAGGUGACCUGUGAGGGUUGCUGGAGGUAUCAGAAGUGCGAAUGCUGACAUAAGUAACGAUAAAGCGGGUGAAAAGCCCGCUCGCCGGAAGACCAAGGGUUCCUGUCCAACGUUAAUCGGGGCAGGGUGAGUCGACCCCUAAGGCGAGGCCGAAAGGCGUAGUCGAUGGGAAACAGGUUAAUAUUCCUGUACUUGGUGUUACUGCGAAGGGGGGACGGAGAAGGCUAUGUUAGCCGGGCGACGGUUGUCCCGGUUUAAGCAUGUAGGCUGGUUAUCCAGGCAAAUCCGGAUAAUCAAGGCUGAGGUGUGAUGACGAGGCACUACGGUGCUGAAGUAACAAAUGCCCUGCUUCCAGGAAAAGCCUCUAAGCAUCAGGUAACAUCAAAUCGUACCCCAAACCGACACAGGUGGUCAGGUAGAGAAUACCAAGGCGCUUGAGAGAACUCGGGUGAAGGAACUAGGCAAAAUGGUGCCGUAACUUCGGGAGAAGGCACGCUGGUGUGUAGGUGAAGCCCCUGCGGGUGGAGCUGAGACCAGUCGAAGAUACCAGCUGGCUGCAACUGUUUAUUAAAAACACAGCACUGUGCAAACACGAAAGUGGACGUAUACGGUGUGACGCCUGCCCGGUGCCGGAAGGUUAAUUGAUGGGGUUAUCCGUAAGGAGAAGCUCUUGAUCGAAGCCCCGGUAAACGGCGGCCGUAACUAUAACGGUCCUAAGGUAGCGAAAUUCCUUGUCGGGUAAGUUCCGACCUGCACGAAUGGCGUAAUGAUGGCCAGGCUGUCUCCACCCGAGACUCAGUGAAAUUGAACUCGCUGUGAAGAUGCAGUGUACCCGCGGCAAGACGGAAAGACCCCGUGAACCUUUACUAUAGCUUGACACUGAACAUUGAGCCUUGAUGUGUAGGAUAGGUGGGAGGCUUUGAAGCGUGGACGCCAGUCUGCGUGGAGCCAACCUUGAAAUACCACCCUUUAAUGUUUGAUGUUCUAACGUUGGCCCCUUACCGGGGUUGCGGACAGUGUCUGGUGGGUAGUUUGACUGGGGCGGUCUCCUCCCAAAGCGUAACGGAGGAGCACGAAGGUUAGCUAAUCCUGGUCGGACAUCAGGAGGUUAGUGCAAUGGCAUAAGCUAGCUUGACUGCGAGCGUGACGGCGCGAGCAGGUGCGAAAGCAGGUCAUAGUGAUCCGGUGGUUCUGAAUGGAAGGGCCAUCGCUCAACGGAUAAAAGGUACUCCGGGGAUAACAGGCUGAUACCGCCCAAGAGUUCAUAUCGACGGCGGUGUUUGGCACCUCGAUGUCGGCUCAUCACAUCCUGGGGCUGAAGUAGGUCCCAAGGGUAUGGCUGUUCGCCAUUUAAAGUGGUACGCGAGCUGGGUUUAGAACGUCGUGAGACAGUUCGGUCCCUAUCUGCCGUGGGCGCUGGAGAAUUGAGGGGGGCUGCUCCUAGUACGAGAGGACCGGAGUGGACGCAUCACUGGUGUUCGGGUUGUCAUGCCAAUGGCACUGCCCGGUAGCUAAAUGCGGAAGAGAUAAGUGCUGAAAGCAUCUAAGCACGAAACUUGCCCCGAGAUGAGUUCUCCCUGAGACUUUAAGUCUCCUGAAGGAACGUU
rnacentral:rRNA from 1 species